rnacentral:rRNA from 1 species
AGUGAACGCUGGCGGUAGGCCUAACACAUGCAAGUCGAACGGCAGCACAGUAAGAGCUUGCUCUUACGGGUGGCGAGUGGCGGACGGGUGAGGAAUACAUCGGAAUCUACUUUUUCGUGGGGGAGAACGUAGGGAAACUUACGCUAAUACCGCAUACGACCUACGGGUGAAAGCAGGGGAUCUUCGGACCUUGCGCGAUUGAAUGAGCCGAUGUCGGAUUAGCUAGUUGGCGGGGUAAAGGCCCACCAAGGCGACGAUCCGUAGCUGGUCUGAGAGGAUGAUCACCCACACUGGAACUGAGACACGGUCCAGACUCCUACGGGAGGCAGCAGUGGGGAAUAUUGGACAAUGGGCGCAAGCCUGAUCCAGCCAUACCGCGUGGGUGAAGAAGGCCUUCGGGUUUUAAAGCCCUUUUGUUGGGAAAGAAAAGCAGCAGGUUAAUACCCCGCUGUUCUGACGGUACCCAACGAAUAAGCACCGGCUAACUUCGUG